AAGGUUUUAAGUUAAAAUAAACUAAUAGCCUUCAAAGCUAGAAAUAAAUUAUCCUUUUUUAAACCUUA
rnacentral:tRNA from 1 species